GACAGAGGGGGCAAGCGUUGCUCGGAAUUACUGGGCGUAAAGGGCGCGUAGGCGGGAUGGCAAGUCGGUCGUGAAAUCCUUCGGCUCAACCGAAGAACGUCGAUCGAUACUGCUGUUCUUGAGGGUUGCAGAGGAGACUGGAAUUCCCGGUGUAGCGGUGAAAUGUGUAGAGAUCGGGAGGAACACCGGUGGCGAAGGCGGGUCUCUGGUCGACCUCUGACGCUGAGGUGCGAAAGCGUGGGGAGCGAACGGG
rnacentral:rRNA from 1 species